AAAAAGGUUGUUUUAACAACUAUCAAAAUUGUUGGACAAAUUUGU
rfam:Capsicum annuum cultivar Zunla-1 chromosome 12, whole genome shotgun sequence